rnacentral:rRNA from 1 species
AACGAACGCUGGCGGCAGGCCUAACACAUGCAAGUCGAACGCCCUAGCAAUAGGGAGUGGCAGACGGGUGAGUAACACGUGGGAACGUGCCUUUCGGUUCGGAAUAACCCAGGGAAACUUGGACUGAUACCGGAUACGUGCGAGAGCAGAAAGAUUUAUCGCCGAAAGAUCGGCCCGCGUCCGAUUAGCUAGUUGGUGAGGUAACGGCUCACCAAGGCGACGAUCGGUAGCGGUC